GCACAGUGCCGCCUUCGUGUACGGGGCAAUGAGUUUCACGGACAAGGUAGCCAAUGGAUUGGCAGUGGUGAUCAUCCAGUCAAUGCAUCCUUGCCAGUAAGUAUUCACAAGGCUUUCGAGUAAACGAGAUGACAAAAAUAAUGGUAGAAAAUCUUUGCUCAAUAUGUGCUUAUGGAUUUUAUUCACUAAAUUAGGAAUUGUGGAAAACUGCCAAAUUUUGCAAUUGUGCAAUUUUUAAACUAAUUUAUUGAUUGUACAAUCUGAGUCUCCGGGAAAACUGGGGGGUCACAGAAAGGAUCUGCUUUUCACCAUACAUUUUUAUAACCGUAAUCUUUGUUUCUCUUACCCAGCACUGAACAAUGUUGCCCAGCUUGUAAUCCUUUCUACCACUGGGUGAUGGUGGCUGUUACUGGAGGGGUAGCGAUUGUGGCCGGCCUGGCUCUGAGUUCCAUUAUGAUCUGGCCUAUCAAAGUUCGGUUCUGUAA